UACAGAGGUCCCGAGCGUUGUUCGGAUUCACUGGGCGUAAAGGGUGCGUAGGUGGUGAGGUAAGUCGGAUGUGAAAUCUCCGGGCUCAACCCGGAAAUGGCAUUGGAAACUACCUUGCUAGAGGAUUUGAGGGGGGAUUGGAAUACUUGGUGUAGCAGUGAAAUGCGUAGAUAUCAAGUGGAACACCAGUGGCGAAGGCGAAUCCCUGGAAAAUACCUGACACUGAGGCACGAAAGCCAGGGGAGCAAACGGG
rnacentral:rRNA from 1 species